rnacentral:rRNA from 1 species
UACGUAGGGUGCGAGCGUUAAUCGGAAUUACUGGGCGUAAAGCGUGCGCAGGCGGUUUUGUAAGCCAGAUGUGAAAUCCCCGGGCUUAACCUGGGAAUGGCAUUUGGGACUGCAAGGCUUGAGUGCGGCAGAGGAGACUGGAAUUCCCGGUGUAGCAGUGAAAUGCGUAGAUAUCGGGAGGAACACCGGUGGCGAAGGCGGGUCUCUGGGCAAUUCCUGACGCUGAGGCGCGAAAGCGUGGGGAGCAAACGGG